rnacentral:rRNA from 1 species
GACGGAGGGGGCUAGCGUUGUUCGGAAUUACUGGGCGUAAAGAGUGCGUAGGCGGUUUAGUAAGUUGGAAGUGAAAGCCCGGGGCUUAACCUCGGAAUUGCUUUCAAAACUACUAAUCUAGAGUGUAGUAGGGGAUGAUGGAAUUCCUAGUGUAGAGGUGAAAUUCUUAGAUAUUAGGAGGAACACCGGUGGCGAAGGCGGUCAUCUGGGCUACAACUGACGCUGAUGCACGAAAGCGUGGGGAGCAAACAGGAUUAGAUACCCUGGUAGUCCACGCCGUAAACGAUGAGUGCUAGAUAUCGGGAGAAUCUCUCUCGGUUUCGCAGCUAACGCAUUAAGCACUCCGCCUGGGGAGUACGGUCGCAAGAUUAAA